rnacentral:rRNA from 1 species
GACGAACGCUGGCGGCGUGCUUAACACAUGCAAGUCGAACGGUAAGGCCCUUCGGGGUACACGAGUGGCGAACGGGUGAGUAACACGUGGGUGAUCUGCUCUGCCAUUCGGGAUAAGCCUGGGAAACUGGGUCUAAUACCGGAUAGGACUCCUGGAUGCAUGGUUGGGGGUGGAACGCGUUAGCGGUGUGGGAGGGGCCCGCGGCCUAUCAGGUUGUUGGUGGGGUAAUGGCCUACCAAGGCGACGACGGGUAGCCGGCCUGAGAGGGUGACCGGUCACACUGGGACUGAGAUACGGCCCAGACUCCUACGGGAGGCAGCAGUGGGGAAUAUUGCACAAUGGGCGCAAGCCUGAUGCAGCGACGCCGCGUGAGGGAUGACGGCCUUCGGGUUGUAAACCUCUUUCAGCACCGACGAAGCGCAAGUGACGGUAGGUGCAGAAGAAGGACCGGCCAACUACGUGCCAGCCGCCGCCGUAA